GGGGCUGUAGCUCAGUGGCAGAGUGCUUGCCUUGUAUGUGUGAGGCAUUGGGUUCCAUCCUCAGCCCCA
rnacentral:tRNA from 1 species